UGGGGAAUAUUGCACAAUGGGCGAAGCCUGAUGCAGCAACGCCGCGUGAGUGAUGAAGGCCUUCGGGUUUGUAAAGCUCUGUCUUUUGGGACGAUAAUGACGGUACCAAAGGAGGAAGCCACGGCUAACUACGUGCCAGCAGCCGCGGUAAUACGUAGGUGGCAAGCGUUGUCCGGAUUUACUGGGCGUAAAGGAUGCGUAGGCGGAUUUUUAAGUGAGAUGUGAAAUACCCGGGCUUAACUUGGGUGCUGCAUUUCAAACUGGGAAUCUAGAGUGCGGGAGAGGAGAAUGGAAUUCCUAGUGUAGCGGUGAAAGUGCGUAGAGAUUAGGAAGAACACCAGUGGCGAAGGCGAUUCUCUGGACCGUAACUGACGCUGAGGCAUGAAAGCGUGGGUAGCAAACAGGAUUAGAUACCCUGGUAGUCCACGCCGUAAACGAUGAGUACUAGGUGUAGGAGGUAUCGACCCCUUCUGUGCCGCAGUUAACACAAUAAGUACUCCGCCUGGGAAGUACGAUCGCAAGAUUAAACUCGAAUGAAUUGACGGGGUCAUAGCUG
rnacentral:rRNA from 1 species